rnacentral:rRNA from 2 species
UACGGAGGGUGCAAGCGUUGUUCGGAAUCACUGGGCGUAAAGCGCGUGUAGGCGGUCCGCUAAGUCUGAUGUGAAAGCCCGGGGCUCACCCCCGGAAGUGCAUUGGAAACUGACGGACUCGAGUCCCGGAGAGGAGAGUGGAAUUCCUGGUGUAGCGGUGAAAUGCGUAGAUAUCAGGAGGAACACCGGUGGCGAAGGCGGCUCUCUGGACGGUGACUGACGCUGAGACGCGAAAGCGUGGGGAGCAAACAGG